rnacentral:tRNA from 1 species
UAGAUUGAAGCCAGCUGAUUAGGGUACUUAGCUGUUAACUAAGGUUUUGCAGGAUAGAGGCCUGUCAAUCUAG